AUUGAACGCUGGCGGCAUGCUUUACACAUGCAAGUCGAACGGUAACAGCACUUCGGUGGCUGACGAGUGGCGAACGGGUGAGUAAUACAUCGGAACGUGCCUAGUAGUGGGGGAUAACUACUCGAAAGAGUAGCUAAUACCGCAUGAGAUCUAAGGAUGAAAGCAGGGGACCUUCGGGCCUUGCGCUACUAGAGCGGCUGAUGGCAGAUUAGGUAGUUGGUGGGAUAAAAGCUUACCAAGCCGACGAUCUGUAGCUGGUCUGAGAGGACGACCAGCCAAACUGGGACUGAGGCACGGCCCAGACUCCUACGGGAGGCAGCAGUGGGGAAUUUUGGACAAUGGGCGCAAGCCUGAUCCAGCAAUGCCGCGUGCAGGAUGAAGGCCUUCGGGUUGUAAACUGCUUUUGUACGGAACGAAAAGCCCUCUUCUAAUACAGGAGGGUCAUGACGGUACCGUAAGAAUAAGCACCGGCUAACUACGU
rnacentral:rRNA from 1 species